ACCUACGGGGGCAGCAGUAGGGGAUAUUGCACAAUGGGGGAAACCCUGAUGCAGCGACGCCGCGUGUGGGAAGACGGUCUUCUGGAUUGUAAACCACUGUCCCCAGGGACGAAAAUGACGGUACCUGGGGAGGAAGCUCCGGCUAACUACGUGCCAGCAGCCGCGGUAAUACGUAGGGAGCAAGCGUUGUCCGGAAUUACUGGGUGUAAAGGGAGCGUAGGCGGAGAUGCAAGUUGGGUGUCAAAACUACCGGCUCAACCGAUAGUCGCACUCAAAACCGCAACACUUGAGUGAAGUAGAGGCAG
rnacentral:rRNA from 1 species